GACGAACGCUGGCGGCGUGCUUAACACAUGCGAGUCGAACGGAAAGGCCCUGCUUUUGUGGGGUGCUCGAGUGGCGAACGGGUGAGUAACACGUGAGUAACCUGCCCUUGACUUUGGGAUAACUUCAGGAAACUGGGGCUAAUACCGGAUAGGAGCCCCUGCUGCAUGGUGGGGGUUGGAAAGUUUCGGCGGUUGGGGAUGGACUCGCGGCUUAUCAGCUUGUUGGUGGGGUAGUGGCUUACCAAGGCUUUGACGGGUAGCCGGCCUGAGAGGGUGACCGGCCACAUUGGGACUGAGAUACGGCCCAGACUCCUACGGGAGGCAGCAGUGGGGAAUAUUGCACAAUGGGCGGAAGCCUGAUGCAGCAACGCCGCGUGCGGGAUGACGGCCUUCGGGUUGUAAACCGCUUUCGCCUGUGACGAAGCGUGAGUGACGGUAAUGGGUAAAGAAGCACCGGCUAACUACGUG
rnacentral:rRNA from 1 species